rnacentral:rRNA from 1 species
AAUGAACGCUGGCGGUGUGCCUAACACAUGCAAGUCGAACGACAACACAGUAAGAUCUUGCUCUUACGGGUGGCGAGUGGCGGGCGGGUGACGCAUAGAUCGCCAACUUCUUUUUCUUGGGUGAUAACGUAAGGCAACUUACGCUAACACCUCAUACAUCCUACCGCUGGAAUCAGUAGAUCUUCAGACCUUUCGCGAUUCAUUUAGCCGAUGUCGGAUUAGCUAGUUGGCGGGGUAACGGCCCACCAAGGCAACGAUGCGUAGCUGAGCUGAGAGGAUGAUCAGCCACACUGGAACUGAGACACGGUCCAGACUCCUACGGGAGGCAGCAGUGGGGAAUAUUGGACAAUGGGCGAAAGCCUGACGCAGCAACGCCGCGUGGGUGAAGAAGGCCUUCGGGUUGUAAAGCUCUGUUGUUGGGGAAGAACAGAAGUGGAUUAAUAUAUGGACGUUUUGACGGUACCCAAAGAGAAAGCCACGGCUAACUUCGUG